rnacentral:lncRNA from 1 species
UGGAACGCUUUUGUGUAUGUGAUGGAACAAUCAUACGUGUCGUUUACGGGUGUCCUGGUGUUGCUAAUCACUGCAAUCAUAUUUGUGCCCUCAAAGAUAUCUCGGAAGAAAAGAGUGGUAAUCGGAGUUCUCCAUGUUACUGCGCACCUGAUGGCAGCUCUGAUUCUCAUGUUGAUGUUGGAACUAGGCAUAGAGAUCUGUAUUCAACAUAAUCUACUUGCAAAUUCUGGUCAGUUUAGUUUGCUUAUGUUUGAUGGGUGGAUUUACAGAUGCGCUUGUAAUGCUUCUAGUAUCAGUGAUCAUUUUUUAAAAAAAUUCAGGGAUCAAGCAAGGGUUCUUAUGAAUCAAUCAGACAGCAGUCUAGAUUAUCCUCCUAUUUGAUAUUUUUAUACCAUCUAAUCAUUUUCUGUAAUGUGUGGCACUUGUUUGUCCAUGGAUACUGGAUCAUUACUGUGGUUAAUGUAUUCUUCUUCAUUUUCUUUUUGUUUCAUUAGGCACAAGGUUUUGUAUGCUGAACUAGACCCCGGAAACCCAAAGUUGUGUUGUUUUGUAUGGGCUCUGACAAGCACUCUGCUCGUUUAUUGAAUACCCUCAAAAUGGAGAGGGUCAGGACGAUUCUAACCCACACUUACCCUUACCCCCAUGAGCAUUCUCGCCAUGCUAUCAUCGCUGUUUUUCUCGGUUGCCUAUUCUUUAUUUCCUCGGAUAACAUGCACACCCUCAUAGAAAAGUUUUCAGUCAAGUGGUGGUUAAUGUAUGGCUGCUUGCUCGGAUUCUUCUACUUCUUUUCUUCUCCUUUUAUUGGGAAGACUAUCAGACCAAACUAUUCAAACUUCAGUCGAUGGUAAGCAUCUCUUCAUUUCAUUAUGUCUUCCUAAAAUAUUUUACAUUAAUAUUCAGUCUUUAAAGUUCUUAAUUCUUUUUUUUUUUUUAGGUACAUUGCCUGGAUUUUAGUUGCAGCUCUGUAUCAUCUUCCUAACUUUCAGUCAAUGGGUUUGGAUUUGAGGAUGAAUUUGUCCUUGUUUUUGACGAUUUACAUAUCAUCAAUAGUCUUCCUUGUUGUCUUCCACAUCAUUUUUCUUGCCCUUUGGUAUGUUGGCCUUGUUUCUCGCGUGGCUGGAAGACGCCCAGAGAUUUUAACCAUUCUUCAAAACUGCACCGUAAGUAGUCCACCAUGGGAGAGUCUUACACAUUAAGCCCACUUAUUUGCCUAGCUUAAAAUACAUAAAAGUUUACUGUCUUCAUGUCUUUCAUCUGUUCAGGUUCUUAGCAUGGCUUGCUGUAUCUUUUACAGCCAUUGUGGUAACCGAGCUAUUCUUAGGGACAAAACUCCUGGAAGACAGCAUCAUUCUAGCUUGUUUUCCUUCUGGAAAAGAGAACAUCGGAACAAUACCUGGAUUGCACAAUUCAUUCGUAUGAAUGAGCUGAAAGACCAAGUGUGCUCGUCAUGGUUUGCGCCAGUUGGAUCCGCUAGUGAUUAUCCACUGUUGUCCAAAUGGUUCAUUUACGGAGAGGUAUCUCUUUUUGAAACUCUUCAGUGACCUGUGAUUAUGUUUUAUUUGUCCACCCUUUGAUUUUUUUGUCUUGUUCCUAUCUUGAUACUUUCAGAUUGCGUGUAAUGGAUCAUGUCCUGAUUCAUCUAGCGAAAUUUCUCCAAUAUACUCAUUGUGGGCCACAUUUAUUGGUCUUUACAUUGCCAAUUAUGUAGUGGAGAGAUCAACAGGGUAAGUUGCAUGAGCAACUUUGGUCUUACAUUCCCAUGGGCAUGUUUUAUCUAUAAGUUCUGUUUUGCUUUUUAGGUGGGCUCUGACACACCCUCUGUCAGUAGACAAAGUUGAGAAGCUGAAGAAGGAGCAAAUGAAACCAAAUUUCUUAGAUAUGGUUCCUUGGUAUUCAGGGUAUGUCUAUGCCAAACUAAUAUUUCCCUUUAUUGCUUAGGAAAAAAGCAAGACACUUGACCAGGUGCUGAUUCCUCUAAUUAUAUAUAUAUUUCAGAACAUCGGCUGAUUUGUUUAAAACUGUGUUUGACCUCCUCGUAUCAGUAACGGUCUUUCUUGGCCGCUUUGACAUGCGGAUGCUGCAGGUAUACUUCUUUUCUUUGUGGUAAUUUGAUUCUUCUUUCUGCGGCCAGACAUUUAUGAUAAUUACUUUUUUGCUUCUUUCUUUUUUGGAAAAUGUUUAGGCUGCAAUGACCAAAUCUUGUGAUGGAACCAAGAGGGAAGAACUUUUAUAUGACCACCUUGCUAAUAAGGACGAUUUUUGGUUUGAUUUCAUGGCGGACACUGGUGAUGGUGGGAAUUCAUCAUACGCUGUAGCGAAACUUCUUGCUCAGCCUACUCUCCAAGUCUCGGUGGAUGGUGAAACUAGACCGUUGCCUCGGGGUAAUGUACUGAUUAUUGGAGGAGAUCUUGCGUAAGUGCUUUACAUAUUCUCUAGCUUUCGGCAGUUCUAAAUGUAACCGCUGAUGUCUUUUCGAUGUUGUACCUCAGGUACCCCAAUCCAUCAGCGUUUACAUAUGAAAAACGUCUCUUUUGUCCAUUUGAGUAUGCGCUACAGCCUCCCCAUUGGUAUAAAAAUGACUCUAUUGCCGUUGACAAGCCAGAAUUACCUGAGGGAGUGAAAGAUCUAAAGGAUUAUGAUGGUCCCCAAUGUUUUCUCAUCCCUGGAAACCAUGGUGAGUUCCAGGCCCCAUCUUCAUUUUGGUUUGUUCUCCCAUUUCCUCUGACUAUACCAUUUUUGUUUAUUUAUUUCCUAGACUGGUUUGACGGACUCAAUACAUUCAUGAGGUAUAUAUGCCAUAAGAGUUGGUUAGGCGGCUGGUUAAUGCCCCAGAAGAAAAGCUAUUUUGCGUUGCAGCUACCUAAGGGAUGGUGGGUGUUUGGUUUGGAUCUUGCACUUCAUGGUGAUAUUGAUGUUGACCAGUUCAAAUUCUUCUCCGAAUUGGUGAAGGAGAAGGUAACUUUUUUUUAUAUCAUAUUCUAGAUUAUAGUGGCUUUGUCUUUUCAGAUUAUUCAAUUUUCUUAAAGUAUAAAUAUUUUUUCUCAAUUAGGUUAAGGAGGAUGAUGCAGUGAUCAUUAUCACGCAUGAACCGAGCUGGCUUCUUGAUUGGUACUGGAGCAGCGAUACAGGGCAGAACGUGAGGCAUCUGAUAUGCGACGUUUUAAAGUACAGGUGUAAACUCAGAAUGGCAGGGGAUUUGCAUCAUUAUAUGCGACAUUCAUGUACUCAAUCAGAUGCGCCUGUCCAUGUCCAACAUCUUCUUGUAAAUGGCUGUGGAGGAGCUUUUCUACAUCCCACCCAUGUGUUCAGCAAAUUUUCAAAGUACUAUGGGGCUUCCUAUGCAAGCAAGGCUGCCUACCCUUCUUUUCAUGAUUCUAGCAAGGUUAAAACUUUUAUUCCUCCAGUUUCUUUACUAUGCGUUCUGAUGUUAAAUGGUAGUGGUUUCUACUGUUUGCAGAUUGCUUUGGGGAAUAUUUUGAAGUUCCGGAAAAAGAACUGGCAAUUUGAUUUCAUAGGUGGCAUUAUAUACUUUAUCUUGGUCUUUUCAUUGUUCCCUCAGGUGCGUUUUAAGCUCGGUCUUCCUAUUUAAACAGUGCACAAGAAAAUUGAUAUCUUAUUCCCUCUCGUUCAUCAAUUGGUUUCAGUGUAAGCUAGCCCACAUCUUACGAGGUGAUUCGUUUUCUGGACACCUGGAGAGUUUCUUAGGAACAGUGUGGAACGCUUUUGUGUAUGUGAUGGAACAAUCAUACGUGUCGUUUACGGGUGUCCUGGUGUUGCUAAUCACUGCAAUCAUAUUUGUGCCCUCAAAGAUAUCUCGGAAGAAAAGAGUGGUAAUCGGAGUUCUCCAUGUUACUGCGCACCUGAUGGCAGCUCUGAUUCUCAUGUUGAUGUUGGAACUAGGCAUAGAGAUCUGUAUUCAACAUAAUCUACUUGCAAAUUCUGGUCAGUCUCCAUUCACCAUAUACUGAGUUGUUUGGGG